rnacentral:rRNA from 1 species
GUUUUGAGACAGAGUCUCCUAAAUGCACCAAAUUCUAUUUGAUCUUGGAAGAUAAGCAGGGUCAGCCUUGGUUAGUAGUGGGAUGGAAGACCAACAAUGAAUACCAGGUGCUGUGGGCA